rnacentral:lncRNA from 1 species
CUAGCCUAGUUUAUAAAGACAAAGAGUUGUGGGCCUGUGGUGGUGCCAGACUUUUAUCUUCAUGUCAAAGCCUACCUGGGCUAGGUGAUGCCUCCAUCUGGCCAGCAAGAGACAGAGGCACUAGGGCAUUCACUGUUGGGCAGGAGUCCCAACCCAGGGUUGGCCUCCUUCCCUGCAGUCUGAGAAGCAAAACAGAGCUCAGUAAUACUUUCUAAAGAAUACCUGGUAUUCUGUAGAGUUUUAGAAUCUUAGAAACUCGGCCUGGAAUGGACUCUUGGCGCCAAACUCCAGUCCGUGACAGAUGCCUGCUUGAGUAUCCCUGAUGGAGUAGCAUCCCUUCUGUGCAUGCUUAUCCUCUCAAUCCCUGUGCAUCACUGGUCAGCUGACUUGCAUCCAUCAUAGACCAUUAGGACAAACUUUACAGGUGUUCUAUUUAUGAAGUCAUUCUAUACUUUCAAUAGUCAACUGAACUUGCAAUAAAGAUAGGCUGUUUUCUUAGCCUUGCUGGCGCUACCUGCAUGAAAUCGGUAACAAAGCCUGAAAACAGGGUAAACGUGGGAUAUUUUGAUUUUUGAUUUUUCCUAUGUGGUGGCAGAUUUUGCAGCCCAAGUUUUAUUUUGUUUUUGGAAUACAAAGUAACUUCAAAGAGUUGUGUUAGAG